rnacentral:rRNA from 1 species
GACAGAGGUGCCAAGCGUUAGGCGGAAUCACUGGGCUUAAAGCGUGUGUAGGCGGACUCGUAAGUACCUUGUGAAAUCCCACAGCUCAACUGUGGAACUGCUGGGUAUACUGCUUGUCUUGAGCCACUUAGGGGCUGUCGGAACAAACGGUGGAGCGGUGAAAUGCGUAGAUAUCGAGAGGAACACCUGCGGCGAAGGCGGGUUGCUGGGCUGACACUGACGCUGACAGCGCGAAAGCUAGGGGAGCGAACGGG